rnacentral:rRNA from 1 species
GAUGAACGCUGGCGGCGUGCCUAAUACAUGCAAGUCGAGCGAACAGACUAGUAGCUCGCUCCUCUGACGUUAGCGGCGGACGGGUGAGUAACACGUGGAUAACCUACCUAUCAGCCUGGGAUAACUUCGGGAAACCGGAGCUAAUACCGGAUAAUAUAUUUAACCGCAUGGUUCAAUAGUGAAAGACGGUUUUGCUGUCACUUAUAGCUUGAUCCGCGCCGCAUUAGCUAGUUGGUAAGGUAACGGCUUACCAAGGCAACGAUGCGUAGCCGACCUGAGAGGGUGAUAGGCCACACUGGAACUGAGACACGGUCCAGAGUACUAAGGGAGGCAGCAGUAGGGAAUCGUCCGCAAUGGGCGAAAGCUUGACGGAGCAACGCCGCGUGAGUGAUGAAGGUCUUCGGAUCGUAAAACUCUGUUAUUAGGGAAGAACAAAUGUGGAAGUAACUAUGCACGUAGUGACGGUACCUAAUCAGAAAGCAACGGCUAACUACGUG